UUUAAAGUCUAAUCUGCCCUAUGAGGAGUUAAAUGGCCGCGGUACUUUGACCGUGCAAAGGUAGCAUAAUAAUUAGUUUUUUAAUUGGAAGCUGGAAUGAAUGAUUGGACGAGAAAAUAACUGUCUCAGUUUAAUUUUUUUUAGAAUUUUAUUUUUAAGUAAGAAAGCUUAAAUUUUAUUAAAAGACGAGAAGACCCUAUAGAGUUUUAUAUUUAAUUUAUUAUUAGUUUUUUAGUAUUAUUUUAUUAAAAUUAAAUUAAUUAUUUUGUUGGGGCGAUAGAAAAAUAUUAUUAACUUUUUUUAUUAAUUAGUCAUUGAUUUAUGAAUAAAUGAUCCAUUUUUUAUGAUUAUAAGAAUAAGUUACCUUAGGGAUAACAGCGUUAUUUUUUUUUAGAGUUCUUAUCGAAAAAAAAGAUUGCGACCUCGAUGUUGGAUUAAAAUAUAUAUUUGGUGUAGAAGCUAAAUAAUUAGGUCUGUUCGACCUUUAAAAUUUUACA
rnacentral:rRNA from 1 species